rnacentral:sRNA from 1 species
AUAACAAGAUUGCCGAAGACAGCAGGUGCCGCAAGGCGUAACAGCAAUGGCCUGCCGAGGAGCUUACAAGCAGUGAUACUGCUGUAAAUGGAAAAGAAAUUUUCUAAGCCUCUUUGUCUCGGACAAAGGGGCUUUUUAUCUG